AUGGGUGGUCCAUGUCCAUUUAAU
rnacentral:siRNA from 1 species